rnacentral:rRNA from 1 species
GACAGAGGGUGCAAACGUUGUUCGGAUUUACUGGGCGUAAAGCGCGUGUAGGCGGCUUGGCAAGUCGGAUGUGAAAGCCCACGGCUCAACCGUGGAAGCGCAUCCGAAACGGCCUCGCUCGAGUCUCGGAGAGGAAGGUGGAAUGCUUGGUGUAGAGGUGAAAUUCGUAGAUAUCAAGCAGAACACCUGCGGCGAAGGCGGCCUUCUGAACGAUGACUGACGCUGAGACGCGAAAGCGUGGGGAGCAAACAGG